rnacentral:misc_RNA from 1 species
AAAGAGUCUAAUGAGGUGCA